GGGGGCGGGACGUAGAGGGGCGGGGCGGGAUCGCUUCCCAGUAAUAAGUACUGGCGGGCUUCUGUGAGAACCGGGAAGUAACGACUCGGAGAUGGAAUUGUUCAGAGCGGAGACUAGUAGGAAAUUGGGAUUCCAAUUCGACUCCUGAACUCAUACCAUUACUUCCUAACUGGGUCAAAUUAAUCAAACUCUGUAAGCUUUACUUUCCUCUACAAUAUGUUUAGAAAAUUAAAUGAGUAUUUAGGGAAAGUGUUUAGCAUGGGCCUGGCUCGUGGAAAUCCCUUAAUAACAGUUAGCUAUAAUGUGAGUUGUGACUACAAGUGCCCCUCAAAGCCAUGUGAGAUAUCCAAAUUUUAGUGAGUUUACCACUUUAAAUAUCUCAGGAGACAAAAGAAUUCAAGGUGCUAUCAAGCACAAAGUUCUUUGCUGGUUCGAAAAUAUAUUUACCCGCCUAUUUAAGUAUUCUUGGCUAAAAAAGAAGAGUUGAACCUGAAUCUGCCACCAGAAAUAUAGGAAUAAAGGAAAAUUGUAAAGGGUUCAUACCAUUUGAAAGCAAUCAGCCUAAUCCAGAAUGUGGGAAAUUAUAGAAAACAAUCUGGUUUCUUCAACAAAUCAAUGUCUUUAACGGGGUGGGAGAUUGCAAUAGAUUAAAAGAUUUUAGAGAUAUAUCAACCAAAUAUAGCCUCAUUAUGAUUCUGACUGGACAAAAAAAGACCUUUUUGAGACACGGAGGAAUAAGAGCUGGACAGUACUAGAUGGUACCAGCACCCUCCUUUCUAAAUCUACAAGGUGAUCGUGUUAGUAUGAUGCGGCCUCGCUGUCCUGGCCCUAUCUGAUUUAUCAGAAUGUUUAGCAAACCUCACUUGUGUCAUCUCACUGAUGUUAUCCAUGUUCUCCAAGACAAAAGUGGCCGGACAGGAUUGUCAGCUACAGGAUCUUAAAUGGUAGCUCAUCCACCAGUAGCCAAGAAGGAUGCUUGUAAUGAUGAACUACCACUGUGCUGGAGCAUGAGCAGUAAGACGGCAAAAACAGAAGGCAACGAGAGCAAGAGGACACUUUCUAAAAAGACAACUAUCACUUCAAACAAUAAAGGCACAGCUCCACAAAACAUUUAUUCAGCAAAGUAACUAUACUCCGUGCCAACAGCACAUACUGACAUCGCAACAAACAAUUCUGCAAAGAUCAUCCCUAAUGAACAAGGAAUACUAGCCCCACCGGGGAGGUGGGAAUUCACUCUGACUGGGAGGGCUCCACAGAGGUAGCUGCUUACCCCGGUCUUAAUAGAUGAGGAGGAUUUUACUGGAUAGAUCAAGGAGAAAGCAGAUGUAGGGAGAGGAAAUAGCAUGUGUGGAAGUCCAGAUUCUAAAACAGAAAGAUGUGUCCAAGGACCCUCGACCAGGACUAUGUGGCUGCAUGUGGCUGCAGUGACGUGAGAGAAGCUGGGGUGAGCCUGGGAAGAGUGGCUGGGGUCAGGUCCUGAAGAACCCUGAUGCUCUAUGUUGUACAAGAAUUUAUCUGGUUCUUGCCUCUGGUUCUUCCUCAGAGGUAAAUGCCAAAUCCUUGACAUUUCCUGAGUGAUUCUUUGUUAUUCAUGGUGGGUCCCUGACCACACCUGAGUUUGUGCUAAUGCGAUGACUCAGGAUGUGGACCAGCCAUGCUGGAAAGACCAACCAUGUGAUUAGAGGGUUGGGGCUUUGAGCCAGCCGACCUUUAGGGCGUGGAGGGGGGCUGGAGACUGAGUUUAAUCACGUGGCCAAUAAUUCAAUCAAUCAUGCCUACGUAAUAAAACUCCAAUAAAAUUCGAGACACAAAGGCUCCAGUGAGCUUCCUGGUUGGUGAACACAUCAAUGUGCCAGGAGGAUGGUGCAUCUUGAUUCCACAGGGUAAGUGCACAGAAGCUCUACAUUCAGGAUGCUUCCGGACCUGGCCCUGUGUGUCUCUUCAUUGGGUUGGUCCUGAUUUAUACCCUUUAUAAUAAAACUAUAAUCC
rnacentral:lncRNA from 1 species